CGGGUCGCUGCAGCAGUGAGGAAUAUUGCACAAUGGAGGAAACUCUGAUGCAGCAACGCCGCGUGGAGGAUGACGCAUUUCGGUGUGUAAACUCCUUUUAUGAGUCAAGAAAAUGACGGUAGCUCAUGAAUAAGCACCGGCUAACUCCGUGCCAGCAGCCGCGGUCAUACGGAGGGUGCAAGCGUUACUCGGAAUCACUGGGCGUAAAGGACGCGUAGGCGGGUUGGAAAGUCAGGUGUGAAAUCCUACAGCUUAACUGUAGAACUGCACUUGAAACUUCUAAUCUAGAGUAUGGGAGGGGGAGAUGGAAUUAGUGGUGUAGGGGUAAAAUCCGUAGAUAUCACUAGGAAUACCUAAAGCGAAGGCGAUCUCCUGGAACAUUACUGACGCUAAGGCGUGAAAGCGUGGGGAGCAAACAGGAUUAGAUACCCUGGUAGUC
rnacentral:rRNA from 1 species